UUGCAGUGAUGAUACUUUAAACCUUGAUCAUAAUGAUGUUAAUACAAAGAGCUUUUUAAAUCUGAGCAAC